rnacentral:rRNA from 1 species
GCUGGCAGCUAGCUCUCUGCAACUCUCACUCCUACUGAAGCUAAGCAGGGCUGAGCCUGGUUAGUACCUGGAUGGGAGACCACAUGGGAGAGCUAGGUUGCUGUUGGAA